rnacentral:rRNA from 1 species
AUGGAUCUGUCAAAGAAAGGGUUCUUGCCUAUGUUGCAAGGUGUUAAAUUGAGGACUCAAUGUCCGACCACUGCAGAAGAUAGAGAGAAAAUGAAAGUCAUUCCCUAUGCCUCAGCCAUAGGUUCUAUCAUGUAUGCUAUGUUGUGUACCAAACCUGAUGUGUGCCUUUCCAUAAGUCUGGCAGGGAGGUACCAAAGUAAUCCAGGAGUGGAUCACUGGACAGCGGUCAGGAACAUCCUUAAGUACCUGAAAAGUACUAAGGAUAUGUUUCUCAUUUAUGGAGAUGACAAAGGGCUCGUCGUAAAUGGUUACGUAGAUGCUAGUUUUGACACUAAUCCGGAUGACUCUAAAUCACAAACUGGAUAUGUAUUUAUAUUAAAUGGUGGAGCUGUCAGUUGGUGUAGUACCAAGCAGAGCGCCAUGGCCGGAUCUACAUGUGAACCAGAGUACAUAGCUACUUCGGAAGCAGCAAAUGAAGGAGUCUAG